AGGCAAGCCAGUCCCAUCCUUCCCAGCAACUGGGACUUUCCGGGCAGGGCUCCCCAGCGCGGGUUCAGCUAAUUAAGGAAGCAAUUAGCCUCCCCUGAGGCUAUUCAUGCUUCCUCACCCACAGUUCUCAGGUUCUGUGAGACCAGAGCCUCAGUCUCCCGUGAGCAGAGGGUGUGUGUGUGGCUGCCACUAUUCUGCAGACACGCUGGCUCCACCCCAGAGAGUUGCAGGGCCAGGAAAUCUGCAUUUAAACAGACCCUGGCUCUCACACUUCGGAAACUGCCCGAAGCACCUCUCAAAUAUGGGACAGGUGCUUAGGCCGAAAAUCAGGAAUCUCUUGAAUGAAUGCAUGAAGGUGGAGCCCUUUCCCUUAAUGCGCAGGUGAAAAGGGCACCUCGGUGGAUUCUACUAAAUUUAAUAGAAGACCCAAGACGGGGUGGGGGAGACGUGCUUUGUGCUCACCUGGCUGGUUCAUGGGCAGGUGGCCUGGAGGACCCAGCCCUGGCAGCUGUGGGGUAGCUCCAGCCUGGGCCGGACAGCUUCUUUCAUCGCAGGCACCACUGCGGACAUUGCUGGGAGGAAGAGGAGGGAGAAGCGACGGGCUUCAUUAGGAACGGAAAUGCCAAGAUUAGUGAAAGAAUGAAAAGAGUCAAAACAGCCUAGAAAAGGCUUCAAUGAUCCUCAAACUGGAUGAUCGAAUCCCGAAUAAUUGGGAAUCAACAGUAAAGGCCAAAGUUACCUCUGGAAGUGCAGGGCUUUGUCUUUUUGGAUUAACUCAGAAAUUAGACCUUCAGAAAACAACAUCAGCUCUGAUUCUCUGCACCCUUGAUGCUGCCGGUGGCGACUGCGGCUUCCUGAUGGAAAUGUAGACCUGAACAUAAGUCGCAGAAAAAUGCAGACUUGAGUUGGAGCUAAGCUGACUCAGAGCUGCCCUAGAAAGAGGCCCCGUGGCAAAGAACCAAAGGCACCCAGCAACACGAGUGAGGGUGGAAGUGGCUCUUUCCCCAUUCCAGCCUCGCGGUGACCGCAGCCCUGGCUGACACCUUGCUUGCAGCCUGGUGAGAGACAGCAGCCCGAGGACCCUGCUAAGCUGCACCCAGGCUCCUGACCCAUGGAAACUGUGAGAUGAUAAACAUGUACUGCUUAAGCUGAGAUUCGGGCUAAUUUGUUACACAGUCAUAGACAUCGUUUUUUGUUGUUGUUGUUUUUUGAGAUGGAGUCUCACUCUGUCGCCCAGGCUGGAGUGCAGUGGCACAAUCUCAGCUCACUGCAACAUCCACCUCCCAGGUUCAAGCGAUUCUCGUGCCUCAGCCUCCCAAGUAGCUGGGAUUACAGGCAUCUGCCACCAUGCCCGGCUAAUUUUUUUGUAUCUUUAGGAGAGACAGGGUUUCACCAUGUUGGCCAGCUGGUCUCAAACUCCUGAGCUCAAGAGAUCUGCCCACCUUGGCCUCCCAAAGUGCUGGGAUUACAGGCAUGAGCCACUGUGCCCGGCCUGUUACACAGUCAUAGACAUCUAUAAAAUACUCAACACGGUGCCGGCGCAUGGCAAGCAUCAGUUACUGACCACGGUGACCCUUCUGUGUACACCAGGGGAACUCAAAAUACUCAGGAAAUCUAAGCAUAUAAGCCUAGUCACCAGGCUGUCGACAUGACCCUUAACAAUGAACCUGUGUCUUUUGCCACCUCAUGAUGUCAUAGAAGAAGAGCAGCAUCAAUGUUAAGAGUCUGGAGGAGGGACUAGAUGCUGUGGCUCACACCUGUAAUCCCAGCACUUUGGGAGGCCGAGGCAGGUGGAUCACCUGAGGUCAGGAGUUCGAGACCAGCCUGGCCAACAUGGUGAAACUUUGUGUUUACUAAAAAAUACAAAAAAUUAGCCAGGCAUAGUGGCAUGCACCUGUAAUCCCAGCUACUCUGGAGGCUGAGGCAGGAGAAUCUCUUGAACCUAAAAUCUAAAAAAUAAGACCACGCCAAGGAAAAAAAUCAGUAACAGUAUAGAGGGGAUGGAAGCAGACCUCUUUAAUACACCUUGUUCUUCAGUUUUGACUUUGCCAUCAUGUAAAUGCUUUAUUUAGUUCUAAAUCAAAU
rnacentral:lncRNA from 1 species